rnacentral:rRNA from 1 species
AUUGAACGCUGGCGGCAGGCUUAACACAUGCAAGUCGAACGAGUGGCGGACGGGUGAGUAAUGCUUGGGAAUCUAGCUUAUGGAGGGGGAUAACUCCGGGAAACUGUAGCUAAUACCGCGUACCAUAGUGUGCGCCCAAGUGGGAUUAGGUAGUGGGUGAGGUAAAGGCUCACAAAGCCGACGAUCUCUAGCUGGUCUGAUAGGAUGACCAGCCACACGGGGACUGAGACACGGCCAGGAGUCCGACGGGUGGCAGCAGUGGGGAAUAUUGCGCAAUGGGGGCAACCUGACGCAGCCAUGCCGCGUGAAUGAAGAAGGCCUUCGGGUUGUAAAGUUCUUUCGGUAGCGAGGCGUUACCUACAGAAGAAGCACCGGCUAACUCCGUGCCAGCAGCCGCGGUAAUUC